UGGGGCGUGGCCAAGAGGUAAGGCAACGGGUUUUGGUCCCGCUAUUCGGAGGUUCGAAUCCUUCCGUCCCAG
rnacentral:tRNA from 3 species